GCUAACGCAGACCUCUCCUUCCCUCAGGAUAGUAGACCAAGAUCCACAUCGGUUUUCGAAGUACCAACCAUGCAUCCGUCAGCCUCUCGCCGUCACGCCGCCAAGCAUCGUCGCUACCUGUGCUGCCCCACGGAACCAGAACGAUCGAGGGUUUCGAGCAGAAACUGCAGAUUCUAUUCAAUUGUUCUGUUGUUGCCAACUACCUCGAUCCAGUGUGUUGGUCCAUGAGGUGACUCUGGUGGCGGCGCCAUAACCCGGCUGGAGACGGCAGCGGCGACACGUUCUUCUCUCCUCCUGUCGGCGCGAGCAGUUCGUCCCCAUAGUCGGACCAGAUCAAACGCUUCUUGCAACAUCAAUAUCUUGCAAUCCUCCCAACGGCAGUGGUAGCGGAUUGACCUGGUCUCAACGGCAGCAACAUCACAACGACCCAGAUUCUUGUCUAUCUAGAUCUUGGUAUAUAACUGCAGCAACUCAUAAGUCUGGGAGGCCAAGAAAGAAGACAUAGGUACAGAAGAAGAGGCUUUAUUAUAAAUAUUUUCUAAGACCAGCUGCAGUCUGAAUGAGACUAUUGAGGGCCUUAUUCUGCACCGCCACUUCACUAGGGAAUACAGUCAUCAUCGACAUAGUUUCACUUGGAGAAAACUGUCUGACACUUUAGUAUCAUAGCCACCAAGGUAAAUGGUCAAGUCUUGUGUUCUCAUUGACCUGACUAUUCAAUCAGAGAGUGUUUUGUUGGCGAUUUAUAGCGAACCAAAAGAAAGAAGACAACAAAUAUGUGUUGGGUUAUCUUGUUAACCUCACCAUACAAUUCCUUGUGGGUGGUCUUCGUUAAAUUGAAAAGACUUUGGUAGUUAAUUCAUGCCAUUGGUGGUGAUGGCAGUCCAACGAAGUGCAAUAUGUACAAGUACAAUUGAGCCAAAAAGGAAACUGGAUGCCAUCUGUACUAAAGCUAGAUGUCUCAUACUGUAUAUAAAACCGCCUCGGUGUUUUCUUCCUUGAUUCGAUUUUUUCUUUCUCUACUUCAUUGAUAAAAUAAAGAGAUAGAUUUCACCCUUCUUUUAUUGCCAUUUUCACUCUGUUUUUUUACUGUGAAGUUGGCCGGGCAUGUAAAUAUGAAUCGCCACAUAAAAAGAUCAGCGGCAUCUCAUAUUCUCGUUUAAGUGAUGUACGUGUUCCAGACUAUUUUUCAAGUUUCAGGUCAGAGUCUCUACUCUAAACCAUAGUCACCGUGGAUAUGUAAGAGUGUGCAAGAUUUUUGCGAGUGUUUUUUUUUUUUUGAUAUCACACAAAUUGGUGGGUAAAUGAAAUAUAUAACACUGGUUCUAUAAUCCUUUUUUAUGAUUCUCUUUCGUUUCUUUUAUUAAAUAUCUUAUUAUUAUUCUGUGUACAUAUUUUAAUAGGAUGCCAAACAUCCCAGAGUUUAUCUAUAUUGUGUAUUCCGCCAGAUCUCCAAGAAAUUGUGACAUGUGUGCAGAACAUAGAUGCUUCGAUUUUAUCAUAUACACAAUAUGUUAUACCUAUUACUGAUCCUUCCUUGACAAAAAUAUUUGAGGUAUAAUAUAGUUUCCUAUUACUGAUUCGACGGCGCGGAGCAGUGGCAGCGGUAACAUCUGUUGACCGAUUUGGAGGGGAGCAGAAUAACAGUGAGCAGCAAAGUGUGGACUGGUUCAACAUCAGCCAACAUAAUCGCCCCAACAUCAGCCAGACCGACUGGUUUGAGCUCCUUCCAUGCCUCCCUAACUAUCUUUGCAAGCAGUUGAGUUGGCUUGAACUUUCCUGUACAACUGAAGGUCCUUCUCGAGCGUGUGCAGCUUGAUGUAACAUCAUGCAGUUUGCGAUGGGGAAUCAGUGUUUAGUAGGAACAACUUAGUGCAUAUGUAUUUUGUGUGUACUGACCUGAUGCAAAUAUAUUCAUGUGUAAUGCCAGACAAGGUACAAAGGUAAUGUAGAUUCUGUGUAAUGAUUCGAUUUUCAAACAAUAUUGUGUGCCCUUAGAAAAUUGGAUAUUCGCUAAGUUUGUAAUGACAAGUAAUGUAUGUAAAGUGUACAUUAUCAUACCAAUAUU